AACGAUCCGCCCUGCGGGUUUUGUGUAAUACGGAAAGGGCUGCGGUCGCCAUAACUGCAAGUCACCGGCUGUUUGUUUAUCGUCUUUGCUGUCAUAACAGGAAAGAUCUAUUUUCCUUUGCACCAUGGCUGUAAAAGUGCACAUAAUUUACUGUGGUGGCUGAGGGUACAAGCCCAAGUUCACCAAACUCAAGAUUUUGCUUGAGGAUGAAUUCCAAAGUGAUGUUGAGAUUACUGGUGAGGGCACACCUUCAAGAACAGGGUGGUUUGAGGUGCAGGUGAAUGGGAACCUGGUUCAUUCCAAGAAGGGUGGGGAUGGUUUUCCAGACAGCGGACAGAAGUUGGAAGUUGUGGUAAAAGCUAUUGAAAAGGCUUUGGGGAAAUGAGUCUGUGCCGCUCCUAGAGUUCGGUGUCUUGGUGCGUCUUCCUUCCGGCUGUGGCGAUUGAUGAUGGUGGUACCCGAAGUGUCAGUGACACGGGUGCGACUUGACAGUUUUCGCGCUGCCUGGGAGGUGUCGCACAGAGCACCCGGACUCUCGGGUAUAUCGCAUCAGGUCCCUGCAUGUAGUUUUCAUUUGGGACGAACUAAAGAGUAGCUACAUGAAAUCCCAACUAGACUUUCAUCCUUCCCAUUUUGGUCUGUAUGUUGUCGUUUAAGAUUUAAUUUUCCCACCCUUUCAAAACUUUUCUGUUCUUGUCAAAGUGGUUUUCCUGUGUUGACAUUAAGAUCUUGACUGUUACAGUAACUGGCUGCUAAUGUUUGUUGCUUCUCAAAUGUGGGAUUAAUAAAAACUGAUGUGAAA